rnacentral:rRNA from 1 species
ACGAACUCUGGUAUUGAUUGGUGCUUGCAUCAUGAUUUACAUUUGAGUGAGUGGCGAACUGGUGAGUAACACGUGGGAAACCUGCCCAGAAGCGGGGGAUAACACCUGGAAACAGAUGCUAAUACCGCAUAACAACUUGGACCGCAUGGUCCGAGUUUGAAAGAUGGCUUCGGCUAUCACUUUUGGAUGGUCCCGCGGCGUAUUAGCUAGAUGGUGGGGUAACGGCUCACCAUGGCAAUGAUACGUAGCCGACCUGAGAGGGUAAUCGGCCACAUUGGGACUGAGACACGGCCCAAACUCCUACGGGAGGCAGCAGUAGGGAAUCUUCCACAAUGGACGAAAGUCUGAUGGAGCAACGCCGCGUGAGUGAAGAAGGGUUUCGGCUCGUAAAACUCUGUUGUUAAAGAAGAACAUAUCUGAGAGUAACUGUUCAGGUAUUGACGGUAUUUAACCAGAAAGCCACGGCUAACUACGUGCCAGCAGCCGCGGUAAUACGUAGGUGGCAAGCGUUGUCCGGAUUUAUUGGGCGUAAAGCGAGCGCAGGCGGUUUUUUAAGUCUGAUGUGAAAGCCUUCG